rnacentral:lncRNA from 1 species
UGGGUGGAUGAGGGAGGGAGAAAAGCUGUGCAUAUCAGACAGCAGGCACUGCUGAAGUGUGGAUUUAUUUGUGUGUGUGCUUGCGGGAUUGUCCACAGGGACUGGUAUCCGCUCAGAGAGUGGAUACCAGUAUUCCCUACUCCACACUCAAUCCUAUCAUUCCCUAAACUUCUCUCCUCCUUCCAGACCCCUCUGCCUACAGCACUUGACCCUGUCCUUUCCUCCAGGGAGAUUUGCUAUCUCAAUGAAGACUUUCCUGACCCUUCCAAGGCUGAUCCUUGUUUUUGUGUCUUAUGUGCUCACCCAUGGCUUCUUGGAACAGGAACCAUGCAAGGCAUUAACAUCUUGCUUACAGUUAUAUCUCCAGAACAUUGCACAGAUUCUGGCUCAUAGUAGGUGCUUAAUAAAUCACUGUUGGGACUGGGGUUGUGGCUCAGUGGUAGAACACUCGUGCGAGGCCCUGGGUUCGAUCCUCAGCACCACAUAAAAAUAAAUAAAUAAAAUAAAGGUAUUGUGUCCAACUACAAUUGAAAAAUAAAUACUUUUAAAAAUAAAAUAAAUAAAUUAUUGUUGAAUGAGUGAACAAACAAUAGACUCAGCUUUACCUGGAGUAACUCCUGUUCUAGAACUGAACUGCUCCUGAGUGGGCAGAAGGACCCAUCUUACAGAUACAAAGAAGUGUUCAAAAACCAGGUGCUUCAUGGCUAAACUUAGAGAUGGACUCCUUAGAUAAGUUCAUGAUCUCUUGACUUGUCUGCCUAUUGUUCCCCAAACCAGAAACCCACCCUUCUCAACACCUUUUCUCUAGAAUUUAUAGAUGAUCAGGGAAUACAAAUCAAAGUUUCAUAAGUCAACUCAUUUUUGGCAUUUUAAAUUUACUUUUUGGAGGGCAUACUGGGAAUUUAACCCAGGGGUGCUUUACCACUGAGCUAUAUCCCCAGUUCUUUUAAUGUUUUAUUUUGAGACGAGUUCUCACUAAGUUGCUUAGGGUCUCACUAAAUUGCUAAAGCUGGCCUUGGACUUGUGUUCCUCCUGCCUCAGCCUCCUAAGCAUCUGGGAUUAUAGGCAUGUGCCACCACACCUGGCUUAAAUUACUUAACUUUUAAAAAUUAAACCUGAACUGAGGGUGCAGAGUUCUGUGUGGUACAGCACAUGCUUAGCAUGCACAAGACCCUGGAUUCCAUCCGCAGUACCAAAAAAACUAAAAUUUAAAAAAUAAAAGUCAACUCAUUUCAAUUGAGAGUAAAUGCUUACUACUUGUAAGAGUUUUAUGAAUCUUUCCAUAAAGAUAAAAUUAUUGCUGGCCUGAAUUUAAAAAAAAAAUACUUGCUUUAGAGAAUUGAAGCUACAACCAAAUCCCUUCUGAACACUAGGAAAACAGGCCAGAACUCCAUUGUAACAAUUAGCUGCACUAAAACAGGUUCUUACUCUGGUGGACACAAGUCAAGUGGAAUAUGAUCUGACAUAUGAUGUACCCAAACUCCUAUGUAGAAAACUCAUCUAGCAUCAAUAAUUACUGCUUACAGGGGCUGUGGCUGUGGCUCAGUGGUAGCAUACUUGCCUGGUAUGUGUGAGGCAUUGUCGAUUCUCAGCACCAUGUAUAGAUAAAUUUAAAAAAAAUAAAAGAUCUAUCAACAACUAAAAAAUAUAUUUAAAAAAAUAAUUACUGCUUACAAAGAUAAGAGUAAGAAGAUCAUAAAGAAAAGAUCAAAUUGUGAUCUGUCUUACUUCAGUGAUAUGUACAAUUCAGCCUAAUUCUUUGAGUUAUUAUCCUUGUGUGGUAUGUCAUUGUAAUUCAGUUAAUUCAAAUUAAAUGA